ACAGACAGCCAGGAUGUUGGCUUAGAAGCAGCCAUCAUUUAAAGAAAGCGUAAUAGCUCACUGGUCGAGUCGGCCUGCGCGGAAGAUGUAACGGGGCUAAACCAUGCACCGAAGCUGCGGCAGCGACACUAUGUGUUGUUGGGUAGGGGAGCGUUCUGUAAGCCGUUGAAGGUGUGCUGUGAGGCAUGCUGGAGGUAUCAGAAGUGCGAAUGCUGACAUAAGUAACGAUAAAGCGGGUGAAAAGCCCGCUCGCCGGAAGACCAAGGGUUCCUGUCCAACGUUAAUCGGGGCAGGGUGAGUCGACCCCUAAGGC
rnacentral:rRNA from 1 species